GGCCACUGAGGACCAGUUUACUCCUCCCUCACACACGAUAGAGACUGGCCACUGAGGACCUCUUUACCCCUACCUCCCAUCUCACACGUUAGAGACUGGCCACUGAGGACCACUUUACCCUUCCCUCCCAUCUCACACGAUAGAGACUGGCCACUGAGGACCACUAUACCCCUCCCUCCCACACGAUAGACACCGGCCACUGAGGACUACUUUACCCCUCCCUCCCACACGAUAGAGACUGGCCACUGAGGACCUCUUUACCCCUCCCUCCCACACGAUAGAGACUGGCCACUGAGGACUACUUUACUCCUCCCUCCCACACGAUAGAGACUGGCCCCCGAGGACUACUUUACCCCUCCCUCCCACACGAUAGAGACUGACUACUUUACUCCUCCCUCCCACACGAUAGAGACUGGCCCCGAGGACUACUUUACCCCUCCCUCCCACACGAUAGAGACUGUCCACUGAGGACCACUAUACCCCUCCCUCCCACACGAUAGACUGGCCACUGAGGACCACUUUACCCCUCCCUCUCACACGAUAGAGACUGGCCACUGAGGACCACUUUACCCCUCCCUCCCUCUCACACGAUAGAGACUGGUCACUGAGGACCACUUUACCCCUCCCUCCCACACGAUAGAGACUGGCCAGUGAGGACCACUAUACCCCUCCCUCCCCUCUCACACGAUAGAGACUGGCCACUGAGGACCACUUUACCCCUCCCACCCACACGAUAGAGACUGGCCACUGAGGACCACUAUACCCCUCCCUCCCACACGAUAGAGACUGUCCACUGAGGACCACUAUACCCCUCCCUCCCACACGAUAGAGACUGGCCACUGAGGACCACUAUACCCCUCCCUCCCUCCCACACGAUAGAGACUGGCCACUGAGGACCUCUUUACCCCUCCCUCCCACACGAUAGACUGGCCAGUGAGGACUACUUUACCCCUCCCUCCCACACGAUAGAGACUGGCCCCUGAGGACUACUUUACCCCUCCCUCCCACACGAUAGAGACUGGCCACUGAGGACUACUUUAC
ensembl:lncRNA